rnacentral:lncRNA from 1 species
ACCAGAGUAAGUAUGAAUACUAGAAAAGAGUUUUCAUAAGAUUCAUAGAUGAACUUGAGUCAAGCCAAUCUAGUAUAUGACUGACGAUGGGAUUUGACGAGUUCUCCAUGACUUUCGUCAAGUCGGGACUCACGAUAGAGGGAUUAUAUCACAUGAUAACUGUAUCUAGGGGUUUAUUUUUUCUAUUCUACUGGGUUGCUACUACAUG